GCUGGGUGGGGUAGGGAAGCCAUGUGGCCUGGAAGAGGGAGGCCCAGGGGGUGAAGGGACUGGAACCAGGCCAGCCCCUGCAGAUGGAAGGGUGGAGAAAAUCUGAGAUGUCUUUGUUCCCCCCUGCCGCCCCCCAGAAGGAGAGAGAGUGAAAGAGACAGAGACUGUGCCGGCAGUAGGCCGCCAGAGGAGGAAGAGGAGGAGGGGAAGGUGCCCAGCCGUGGGAGUUGGUGUUCUGGGACGAGAUUUCAGCCGUCCUGGGAGUCUAAGACUUUUAACCCCUUCUUGGACAAUGAAAGCUUUGUGAAAUAUUACUCCUCCUUGGUCUGAAAGAGAAGAGAGACGGCCUGGGGCUCGAGAUGUCAGAAGAAGAUGGGGAAAGAUCCUAAGUGGGAGGAGAUGACGGAGUGGCUUUUGGCUGGACUUUUCUUGUAUAGCCAUAGACUGAACCAUUUUCUCCUGCAACAGAGACUGCAUUUUUAAGGGAAUGCAAUGGUUGGAGCCAAGAGAGUGACCUGCUGCAGUGACGAGGAGCGUGUGGUGGUACCCUCUAUCUUCAGGAAGAAGAAGAUCUCUGUUCUCGAGACUCUAGGCUCCAGGGGAGGAGAAAAUGGGGGGGACUGUUGUACCAAAAAUGAGAAACUGAACUUUGGUCCUUGGUAAAGCAUCCUUGAAAGGAAACCCUAUGAGCAGUUUUGGUCCAUGUACAGUGGUGAGAGCACUGUGACAUGGAAAGGAGGGUGUCACACUGGCAGAUUUUCUCCAGGCAGUGCCAUGUGUGACAUGGAAACACAAGAGGUGGCAAUUGUGCUCCCUGGGGGUCUAUGGUGCAAGAGAGACUCCUCUCUCCCCCAAUGAGCUGAGUAUUAUCUAAAGGGUGGUAACUUGAUUGAGGGUCCAAGUUUUGUCUCAGUGUGCUCUGUUGGAAAUUAGGUGGGGGGAGGAGGAAUGUUUUGGAAGGUUUUCAUUCUGGAUUCAGUGUGUGUCUUUUAUCAUAGUAGUAGCCUCUUAAGUUUUUUCCUUUGUUUUUAAGCUUGAGCCUACUCUGCUCUGGUCCUGAUCGCAUCUCACAGAACUCAUUUGGGGAGCGUUUAUUUUCAUGGGGACUCUGGCAUUGUGCCAGCGUCAAACCAUGACCUAUGGUUUUCUCACAGACCUGCAAAUCGCAGGUGACCAUUCUCACCUUCACUUACGGCAGUGAACUGAUGGACUGGAAAGAAAAGUUGAGGCUACGCGCUGCUGUUGGAGGUCCCAGUUGAGGCCUGACGCCUCUGGCGGGAGCGGUUGCUCCUGCGAGACCUCCCUGCUGGUGUCCCCGUGCGCCUGGGCCUCUCAGCACUUGCUGCUCUCCUCCUGCUCCUGUCCUGAGGACUCCUGGACCAGAGAGGUUGAUUCGAGGCCUGGCACUGCAGGUGGGAGCAGCUGCGUCUGGGGGAUAUCCCUGAUGGACUCUUCCUUUUCUUGGGCCUCUCAGUACUUGGUCUUGUCCUACUAAUGCCGUCACAGUGAUGCCUCAAUUGGAUUGGUUGAUUUGGGGCUGACCUUGCUGGUGGGCAUGGUUGUGUCCAGGGGAUGCCUGUGGAGGUGUCUCCCUUUGCCUGGGCCUCUCAGUCCUUGGACAUGUUCUGCCUUUCUUGUGAUGGCAAGUCCUCGAGGAAACAGGUCGACUUGGGCCCGACCUUGCUGGCGAGUGCGGCUUCGCCUGUGGCCCUGUCCAGCACGUCUGUAAUGGACCCUGUCCUCAGGGUCAGGGGAGCUACUGUACAUUAACCUUGGUGUGCUGGGUCUGCUGGUAUGCAGUGAGGAAGAGGGCAGAGACUGCUGCCAUGCUGGUGGCUGCUGCGGCUGCUGGUCACUGCAGAUGAAAACAGCCGUGUGGUCUAUCAGCCCCUGCUCCCGUUUCUGUCCCAUCAGCAAACUUGCUGAGAGAGCGCUCCGUCCCUUCUGUCAGGUCACUGAGGAAUAGGGCAAACAAGGCUGACACCAGCACGGCCCCCUGAGCUCACAGCUCUCUGAGUUUGGAGCUCCACUGCCCACUUCUCUACACCACUGUCCCUGAGCUACCCAAUGUCCGUGAUAUGGGAGGCCAGGACAAAGCCUUGCUGAAGUCCCGGCUGACAACAGCCACUGCUCUCCCCUCACAGACCCAGCCAGUCAGUGCAGCAGAGGUGGCUGUGAGAUUGGUCAAGCAUGGUUUUCUGUCGCUGUAGAGAUGGACAUGAGACAUACACAUACACCUGUGCAGAGACAACAAUGGCUUCUUCUUUAUUAUAAGUUGCCCUCAAGUUUUAUACCCCUAAGAAAAUGUGAUCUUAAGUCAUUAGUUACAUCAAACAAGCUCAGGAUAUUCAAUGGACAAAGCAAUAGCUUAUUGUAUUUUAUGGGUACAAAGCAUUUAAUGUCAAUAAUUCAUUGCAAGUGUGUAUACCACAAACUAUAAAGGCACGUAUGCUGCUCACUAAGGGACGUAUCCUCUAACUACAAGUAACACCGAUCUGUUUAUGUUCCCAUGCUAACGGCCUUGCUUUCUCCCUUGCCAUGGAUAAACUUGCAUUUUAUUUAUUUCUUCUUCUGCUAACUCAGUUGUUUGCCCUGAAGACAAUGUGUCAAGCCCAUCCACAGUUCUCCCUUUCUGUUAUUCCACAGGCUUAGAGAUGACAUCCAAGAGGAGCUAUUCUGUCACCUUUCUGGGGAUGGAGUGAGGCUAAUAGGCCUGGAGUUUCCUGGCUCCUUCUUGUUGCCCUUUUGGAAGACUGCAGAGAUGCUGGCUUUCCUCCACUGCUCACACCUCUCUCUGGGGCUAUCACCUUCCCUGACCUGCUGGAAGAGCGCUCCGAGCCAGAGGCAGGGGCAGAGAUUUCCCUUGGACCCAAAAGGGAAGGCUGGGCUCAGGCCGUGUGUCAGUGCGACCUGACAACGGGAGGAGAAGGCAGGGCAGGGACGCUGCUGCCCAGGGACCAGAGGAGCCCCACAGCUCGGGGCUCUGGGCCUGUGCUGCAGGCUCCCCUGCCUCUCCCUGCCCAGAAUCAGCGGAGGAACAGCCAGAGCAGACUGCGGUGUUCCUCGAGGCGAUGACGGGAGGAGAAGGAGGACAGGAGCAGGGCUCACGCAGGGCUCAGCAGGGAGUAGUGCCCUCGUGGCUCUGGGCCUGUUCUGUAAACUCCCCAUACUCUUCUUUCUCCCAGAAAGAGAGAGAGGACCAGCACCUGGAGGAGACUGUGACGUUUCUGGACAGGGACUCACUGCUGACGGCUGCCAUGUGCGACAGCAAGCAGGAGGGCCCUGGUGCCAGGGAGCCAGUGUGCAUGCUGUGUCGCCGUGCAGAGGCUGACCCCUGUGCUUCCCCAGGCCCUGCCAACAGCUCCUGUGCUGCUGCU